GGCAUCCUCAUGUCCACUCCUUGGAAAAGAUAAAAAAUUUUGUUCUCACAGAUGAAGGCAUGGAGGCUUGAGAAGAGUUGCUAAAUCACUCCACAUCCCAAAGCAUCAGAAGCCAGUGAGCCUGGUAGUUAUGUACUGACUUUCAGGAUAUUCCCCAUGUGAAGAACCAGGUAUACACUAAGCAUUCAAUAAAUGCUUCCCUGCAUGAACAUAUACACAUCACCAAGGUUCCAUGACAAGAAAAUCUCCACAAUGGUAAAGAAUCAACACCACUUGAAGCUUCAUCAGACAACCUUGACCUCAGGAUGAAUAGCAGUGGCACUCUACUAAGUGUUUUAAGGGAGCUUCAGAUGCAACGUAAAUGGAGACAGGAUUAUAAACCUUUCCCCCCAUCUCUGUCUUGCUACAUAGUCUAGCUCCCUUCUCGAAUCUAUCCCUGGAACAUCUUCCUUUUAGCUCCAAAUGCAAUCACCUACAUGAGGGACAACAUCGAUAUGCAGCCAUAUUAAUAACCCAGCAAAGUGAAAUAAAUAGCAAUUGAUGGAUGUGAACGUUCGGAAGCGUGAGCUGAUUUAGAUAAAGUAGAUAUUUUAGUUGGAGAUCUAAUAAAAAACAAAACAGCAGCCACAUGGAGCCUUUUCCCAUUAUUCCACCGGGGAUAAUCUUUAUCUACAUCAAUACUAUAAAGUUAACAAAAGACACAAAGUUGUCUGAUGCCUAAUUCGUUUAUUAUGAAAUUAUCUAAAACUCAAAUAAUUGAAACAGGAUUAUUUAUGUGAUCAUUAAACCCAGGGCAAUUUCUACAGGAUUUUAGUCCUGCUUAAUGGAAAUAUGAGCUGCAGAUACAUAUUCAGCCAGAUUUCAUUCCAAAUAUUCCUUCCAAAAAUUAUUCCUCAUUAUAGUUGAUAUGUUGUACUUC